UUCUGACUAGCAACAAGGCUGAGGCCACCUUCAUGAAGAGCGCAGGAGUGGGUGGCCCGACUGUUGGACUGAGCCACGUUCCUGCUCCCCAUAUUCUGUCUGCAGCACAACCUUGGGUGUCUGUAGGGACACAGAAGGGGCCACCUGUGAGGAGGAGACACAGGCGCAGAUCACACCUCUGACAAGGCUGGUGACUGCAGAAUGGACUCCUGCAUCUCCAUGGUGACAGACUGAUGUCACUGGAGAUGAGCAAGCAUCACAGACACCCAUGUCACCAAACAGGAAGCACAGGCAGCACUGGCACCCACAAGAGGACGUUCACACCAGUGCUGUUGCGGUGAUGCUGACCACAGCCAAGGGCCCCGGGAGCUGGGGAAACCAAGGCAGCUGAAAUGGACUCCUCUGGGAAGCAGUCAGAUCUGCUGCUGAGAAAGAUUCAUCCUUUUGCAGUUUUGACAUGGAGAAACAUUUCUAAAGGUAAAAUUCAAAAUCUGGAAGAAGCCAAUCAAGAUUAAGGGAUCUGACCUAAAACUUUCCCAGAACCGAGAGCAGCACCAUAAAGCAGUGUAAGAAGACUAAAGCUAAACCAUGAAAAAUACAACUUAGGAAGAGCUUUUAAAACUGAAGAAGGGGCGUGUGGGCUCAGAUAUGACUGGGACAGUUUACAAGAAAGCAAUCCAUGCAGCUCUUCGACCCCUUUCAGAAAAGAGAAGCCAAAACAAAGAUCAUCCUGAGAGGAGCAAAACUGUCCACAGAGAGAAGAGAAACUGGCCAUGAUGCUCUGGGCUGCAGGUAGCUCCUCCUUGACACCCCAAGUGCAGGUACUGAGCCCUGACCCUCAGUGGGAUGGAAGGAGGAGGAGGAGGUAGGCCCAUGAUGAUGAGGUCCACAGGCCAAGAAGAUGGAGCCCACAGGGACCUAGCGCCCCUACAAGACAGCCUGCUUCACAGGAAGCAGAAUGAGCACCCUGCCCCCACCAGGAGUGAGGUCAUCUGUGCCUUGACCCUCACCUCACCUCCGAAACACAAGACUGUGAGACACAAACUCCCAUGGCUUAAACAGCAAUGUAAGGUGUGCACACCCUGCAGAGGGGAACUCUGGGAUACUCAACACAAGCGCAUGUGCGUUUAUGACUUGACCCCCCGGGAAGUCCCGCCUCAGGGGAUCCCCUCCUGUGGGUCAUAGCAGCAGAGACAAAAGCAGCUCCUGACCAGUCCCUGGCACACACCCAACCCUCUUUUGUUUUCUGUUUCUUUUCUUUUCUCCUCCUGGGGAAAGGAGUCUGGUCUGCGUCUUUGAAUCUCUGGUGUCUUUUUUAUCUCUAAUUUAUAGUAGCUGUUCAAUAUCUAUCAUAGCCCUGUCUGUAACAGGAAAGAUUGGACAUGACUCACAUGCUUAGAAAUAUCAAAGCACUUCUAAAAAUGAGUAGACAUCCUCAUAGUAGAAUACUAUGUAACUGUAAAAAUGAGAAAUGCUGAGGAUUUAUCUUAGUGGCAUAAGCACCUGCCUGGUAAGCUUGAGGUCGUGAGUUCGAUCCCAGGUACCAAAAAAUAAAAUAAAUUUAAAAAGAAGCA